GAAAGUGCUUCUAAGUGGAGAUUUUCCACUUAGUUAUAUUACUCACAUUUGGAAGAAGCAUAGCAAUGUCCUAUUCUUUCUCAUUAAUCUUUUUUCAGCUUCUAGGGAUGGUAGUAUAUACUAAUGAACAUGAUUAAUUCCAGUGACUCAUAUCAACAGAAGUUAAAGACAGCCAGUGACUGGAAGAAAGAAAUUCUUAACAAAUAAACACAAAAGGAAAUACAUAUACAACUUAGAAGGACAUAAAGGAUCAAUGUAUUUGCGGAUUUUUAUCUACUGAAGGCUCAUAAUCAAGUCUGGGGGGGGUUUCACA
rnacentral:lncRNA from 1 species